rnacentral:lncRNA from 1 species
GUUUUGUACCUCAUAUGUUCACAGGGUGGUGCCCAGUGCCCAGUGCCCAGCACAGUGUCUGACUCACUAGUAACCAGAUAAAGACUUACAGGAACCCUGCAACCUGAUAACUCAACACUGGUACAUGAAACCAGGAAAACAAUCCAGAAAGGCAGACAAGACUCCCAUUUUGAGAUGUCUUAGGAUCCAGAGUUACACUGUUCAGUACAAUUGUCACUAGCCACAAGAGACCAUUCAAAUUUAAAUUCACUAAAUUAAGAAGAAUGGUAGAAUCUGUUUUUCAACGAUGUCAGUCUUAUUGCCAGUGCUCAGUGGUCACACUGGUUGUAGCUUUCUAGUUCCCAUCAUCAAAGCUAGUUCCAAAGGGAGAGGUUUUUGUUUCUGAUAAUUAUGAUUGUUGUGGAUUAAUGGGAUGUGGACAUACUACGGAUUUCCUUACAACGUACCAGGGUAGGAAACAAACAACCAAAACAUCAAAGUUCUCUUUUGGCUUCCUGUGUGAAUACAGUCAAUUAUGAAGACAGAAUGGAAGCACCAGUGUGGAUAUUUCUACUGCAGUGGCAUCUUGCUUUGCCAGGUGGUGGCUACACCCUAUGAGCCUGGCUUCAGGUGUGCAGAAGUGACCCCUUAUAAAGUAGAGGAGAGGCUGGCUUGCUCUCUUGGCUUGUGGUAAGAUCAUCGGAAGGGC